UUGCACAUUUGCCGACCCCGCGUGAGUGACCCACAGGAAUCUAAGAACACCAGCUGAUG
rfam:Trypanosoma cruzi strain CL Brener tcruzi_1047053466997, whole genome shotgun sequence.